GAGGCUGAUAUUAGUCAACACCUGACAAACAGGGAGGUUCCCAACAGCAGUCAGCGGCGGUACACGGGGAAAGUUCCUUGCAACCAUUUCACUCUCAACGAGGAAGAGGAUUGCUUUAAGGCACUGACUUGGAUAAGGAAUAACUCCAUCACCACAGAAGAUGUUCUUCAGCUUCUGUGAGAAGAAUGUGGAUUAUGAAACGUUUAAAGCCCUCAAUGAUGCAUGUCUUGUGUAUGACAGUCGACUUGUGAUUGAUACCAACUUCCACACCAACGACAUAGCCAUCAGAGCUGCUGGCUCCCUCACCAAAUUCUCCAGUAGAUACUACUCAAAUGAGUGGACUCAUAGCAACUUCAGUUCCAAAGAAGUUGGCUUUCAGCUGGCAGCAGCUAUGCUACAUCUCUUUGAUCCAACCCUUGAGCCUGUGACCGAGCCACCAGCUAAUCUUGACCGGCUCAUCCCCAUGUACAAGGGAGCCAAGAUUCAAGGGGGCAUUCUUCCUGGGUCUUACCAUUAUCUGCAUAUUGCCAAGCCUGCCAUUCCAAC
rnacentral:sRNA from 1 species